AUUGAACGCUGGCGGAAUGCUUUACACAUGCAAGUCGAACGGCAGCACGGGGCAACCUGGUGGCGAGUGGCGAACGGGUGAGUAAUACAUCAGAACGUGCCCAAUCGUGGGGGAUAACGUAGCGAAAGUUACGCUAAUACCGCAUACGAUCUACGGAUGAAAGCGGGGGAUCGCAAGACCUCGCGCGAGUGGAGCGGCCGAUGUCAGAUUAGGUAGUUGGUGGGGUAAAGGCUCACCAAGCCAACGAUCUGUAGCUGGUCUGAGAGGACGACCAGCCACACUGGAACUGAGACACGGUCCAGACUCCUACGGGAGGCAGCAGUGGGGAAUUUUGGACAAUGGGCGCAAGCCUGAUCCAGCCAUUCCGCGUGCAGGAUGAAGACCUUCGGUUGUAAACUGCUUUGUACGGUAACGAAACGGACGAGCUCUAAUACAGUUUGCUAAUGACGGUACCGUAACGAAUAAGUCACCGGCUAACUACGUGCCAGCAGCCGAC
rnacentral:rRNA from 1 species